UAACCUACGGGAGGCAGCAGUGAGGAAUAUUGGUCAAUGGGCUUACGCCUGAACCAGCCAAGUCGCGUGAGGGAAGACUGCCCUAUGGGUUGUAAACCUCUUUUGUCAGGGAGCAACGCCGGCUACGUGUAGCCGGACUGAGAGUACCUGAAGAAAAAGCAUCGGCUAACUACGUGCCAGCAGCCGCGGUAAUACGGAGGAUGCGCGCGUUAUCCGUAUUUAUUGGGUUUAAAGGGUGCGUAGGCGGAAUGCCAAGUCAGCGGUAAAAUCGCGGGGCUAAACCUCGCUCCGCCGUUGAAACUGCG
rnacentral:rRNA from 1 species